UAACUGCACCCAGGGUGUUUUGCGCCAGUUUCAAACAGUACUUGAUUUCGUGUGUUUACAGACAGCAGGCACUGAAUAGUUCAAGAUUUAAAGUCAUGUAGUACUUUUAAACAUGUUACAAGCAAAUCAAUGUCCAGAUUUCUGUGAGAUAAUGCGAUACAGGCCAGGAUGUCUUCCUCCUGGACACAACGAGGGAAAGUUGUUGCCUGUGCAACAGAAAUAAUUGUCGGUGCUACAAAUCAACUUUCUGUGUCUGUCCACAUCACCAACUUAAUUCAUUUUCUGCUGCUGCUGUUGGUAGAGACUCAUUUUCACCAGAACAUAGUGCGUUGUGUAUUUAUUCAAAAAAGAAUUUUUUCAAUGAGGAUGACACUCAUGAAGCAAUGGAUAGCAGCAAUUCUAGAGAUAAUUGUACUUCGUUCUGAUAGGAAAUUCGUGUGAUGAAUUUUAUUUUGGUUAAAGACACAGGAAUUUAUAUUGUCAAUCAGGCUUUUGUAAAUGUACAUAUUUUUUUUACCAGUAUCCUUUGGACCCCAGGUUUGCAGGAAUAUCUAGAUAUUCUUAUCUCAUUGUAAGACAAAAUGCUAAGAAUAACCAGUUCACACCAAGCUUGGAGACUGAUGCAGAAGAUUUCUUUGUUCAGACCCAAUGAAGUAAAAGGAAAAAGAGAGUUUCUGUAACUGAGAAACAAGAAGACGUCACAAUUCUCUAGCAAGAAUCCCCAAAGCCACAAUUCUGCCAAAUCCUUCAACACCUCCACCAGCACAAGGCCCCUUGUCUAUCCAAUGGUCCAGAGCCGCCAAAGGCCUACUACUCUACCGCCGAGCUAUGUGUCAUGUCAGACAUCGCCUGUCACAAAAGCUAAACUAUUAACAAGGAUUUACUGCAGGAAAAGUGGACAGUGAAAAACGAUUUCUGUAAAUUGGCAGAGAGUUGCUGUGAGCAGUUGAGAGGAUUAUGAGCGAAAUGCCGGUGUUUACAAAACAUAAAGACUUGUGAAUGCAAUUGUGUGUUUUUAAGAGGAAAGCUGUUCACUGUAGUGUAUGGCGACUACACAGUGGCUUACUUGCAGUGUGACAAAUACUUGAGUUCAGCAGCAACAGGUUGCAGUGAAAGGUAAAAGCUUCUCUCUACAGUCGCUUUGUUGUUCAAUCCUGUGGAAGGUGGGCGUGGAGCAGAUGUGUGACUGCUGAUAACAAAGCUCAUCUGAUAAGCUGCUGAUGUGUGACUGGCAGUCAGCUUGUGUAGGACUCAUUUCUCGCAAAGCUUGUGCAUGACUCGCGGCUGCUUUGUGACAAGACACUACGACAGAAUAUUUUCAAUAGUAAACAUAAAGUAUUCGAUGAUUAACGAUGUGUUAAAUAUCAACACGCUACUUACAUCACAACAGCCAUCCAUUGUGCUGUAUCACAGAAGACUGGUAUAUGUUCAUGAACAAUACACUGUAUAUUCAUUUUAGUGUAUUUAUCUCUUAGUGUGUGUGUGUAACGCGGUCUUCGACUGGGCGCCAUUUUGUCUCUGUGGCAACAACAGGUGGCACUGUUGUCCUUUUAUAAUCUACCGUGGACUUGUCUAAAUAACGGGAGUUUUCUGACCGCUGAUCUCCUCUUCUCUGAGGUCUUUGAGGAUGGUAUAAGGUGCUCUAUAAAUAAAAGUUGUCGUCGUCGUCGUCGUCAUCAUCUUCAUCAUAAUUAUUUCAUAGCUUCACACGUCCACACCUGGGUGAGUAGAGGGAUACUUUCCUGUCCAUGUUGUCUGUUGGCCGAUGGCAGCCUGAGCAGUUUGCUGUCUAUUGUGACAGGGAUUGUUUACUAGUCAAAAAGGGCCAUAGUGUACAUGAGUACAUGAAACCUCUGUAGGCUAUCCAAGGAUGUGAACUAGAUGUUGUACGAGUCUGUUUACAACUGGUAUACACUGGAUUCUAUCUGUUAGAGGUGUAAAGGAAACUGUUCCGUAGAAUGCUACCUGAAUAUUACAGGCUCGUGUUCAAUGAGUCGAUUCUUUACUUUGGUUUGAGCUUAUUACAUAUUACAUGAUGAUGAUGAUGAUGAUGAUGUUUAUUUAUAAUACGCAGAUAUCCAUUCAAAAAGAAUGCUCAGUGCGCAGAAAAGACAAAAUAAAAAAUAAAAAAAUAAUAAUAUUAGAUGUUUACAUAGCGCUGUUCCCAAGUCUGCUCAACGCGCUGUACCAAUCCGACAAGCAUGUAUAACACACACACACACACACACACACUGAAAUGCACAGAUGUAGUCCCCGCCCCAAUCCACACACACUCACGCAACUAUAAUAGAGAAAAGUGAUGGUAGCUGGGAUUCGAAGCCGCCAUGAGGGCAGAGUCAGCACAUGAGGCAGCUGCGUACGUGGGUUCUCAAACCAGUUGAGUGUCUAAUGGACUGGACUGCCAUGGAAACUUCCAGAGUCCGGCAUGCACACACAGACUGUGGCAGAGGCGUCGCCUCAACACCAAGGCCGUGUUCAACAGUUCACAAGACAUCAGAAGGUUUUAGUCCAUGCUGCUGAUACACGUUGAUCCUGAAUCCAAAAUGUAACGAAGCGGUUCAAGAUGGCAAACUGUCAAAUGUGCAAGUGAUGGAAGUGGAGUAAAUAGUGUUGAAAAUAUAGACGACUCUAGAAACAGAAAGACAGAGAGACAGAGAGACAGAGAUGUUGGAUUCGAGAUACGAACCCACGACAACAGAUUCUCUUUAUGGAGGUGACAGACACAGUCGCUUGUUACCUCCCUUAGUGGGGCACCUCUUGGGGUUUGACUGUCAGUAGCUUUACUGUCAUGGGGGCUUCUCCCUCCCGUGGCCUACACAUCCGGGAGUCAAGAGGGCAGCCGCACCCUAAAAAAGACACUAAAGGGCCAAUAUGGUUUUGUCUCCCUCUUUAACAUGUGCUUGAGUUACUGUUCACAAAGUACAAAAAGUGUAGAGGAGCAGAGAGAGAGAUGACAAAUCUUUAUCUACCAGAGUAGCACAAUAAGCUUUUUGUUUACAUCUAUGAUAUGAGUAUAAACUUUAAACUAUUCUGAAUAUUACAUAAUUACAUAUGUCCUUAUUCAUUGAACUUUGCUUCUGAUUAUGUGCUGCUUUGUCUGUUAAAACUGAAAGCAGCAUUGUUGUCAGGCUAGAACUCCAAUCCUCUUCCUUUAUGUUGAAAUGUGAGAAAGUGAGUGUUGUUCACUGUGAGCAUGAAGUGAGAGAGUGAGUAUUGUUCAUUGUGAGCAUGAAGUGAGAGAGUGAGUAUUGGUCACCGUUGGCAUAGAGUGAGCCUCAUUUCCCCCCACCAAAGCUCAGACUCUCUCUCUGUCACUGCCAUCUUGUGGUUUAAUGCCACGUGAUCCGCUGUCAUGGUGAUCACUUGUAGUGUGUUGAAACUGUAAAUACUACACUUUCUUUUAAGUUUUAUUUACAGGAAAAUUUCUUGAGUUUAAAAGUUAUUAGAAUGUCUCCCACACUAUUUAUUUCUGUUGUUUCUACUGUUUUGUCCAGCUACGUGUCAUGUCAGACAUCGGCCUGCCAUCUGACAGCCAGAAUAAGUCAGUUUUGUUACACAACAUCAACUUUAAAAUGUUUCUGUCGUAAUGAGACCCAUAAUGUUCUCAGAUGUUUGUGUCAAUCAUUGUACUGAGAAACCUUAAUUAUGACACUUGUGCAGCUCUGUAUGGAUGCUUCAUUUAACUUGUGUGUUUGUCUGUGUGACUUUCUGUUUGACUGGUUGUCUGUCUUUUUAUACCUCUUUGCAUCUUUCUGGCUGUGUACCCAUCAGCGUCACGUGUUUGUAGAGGAAGAUGCAGGCUGUUACAAUGAGAAGGAAUGAUGACCAUGUGACAAAUACAACGAUUGCACACCUUGUCAAACAUCAGUCAUCAGGUGUCUUAUUGUACAGGUUUUUGUUUCAUGAAAACUGAAUGUAAAGUGUGAAGCGUUUGUGACGAGUUAAGAAAAGAUAGGAAGAGAAAAAUGGUAAAGAAAGCGGGUGAUAUCAGAGAGAAAGAGAGAGACAGAGAGAGUCAGAAAAAAGAGACAGAGAGAGACAGAGACAGAGAGAAACAGAGGGAGAGAGAGUAACAGAGAGAAAGAGAGAGACAAAGAGAGAGACAGAGAGACUGUAAGAGACAGAGAGAGACAGACACAGAGAGAGAAAGACAGAGAGAGACAGAAUAUACAGGUAUUGUCAGGUGUGUAUGUUCCUUUUGCUAGCGCAACGGCUUUUCCAACUUUUAAGCCUAGACAAAAUAUAAAAACAGUUUUUUCGGUGUGUUCCCUAUAAUAUAAUGAUGCAUAUGAUAUCUUAACUAACUUUUGUUAGAGUCCUUUCGUAAAAUGAGUAAAUAAGCACAACAAUAUUACUUACAAUUUUAAUUCCCUUUAUGGCAAUAUCAAUUUUCUGUUGACAAUUAUAUUUGUUUAUUUGAAAAGUCUACUGAUCUUACAGCUCUGCCUAAGUUUUAACUUUCAGUUAAAUACAGGGAAAACGAGGACACAGUAGAACUUGUGCAAAAUUUUCUAUAAUGCAAUUAAAGUCUUGUGUUGUUGUCAUCAGUUAAACAAAUAAACAACAGUAUUUGAUACAAUCAGUCUCUGUGCUUUUGUAUAAUUUUGAAGAUAAAACUAUCAGUUAUCUUUACGUACAAUAAAUAUGUUGAUUUCAUGAUUUAAAAAUAACACUUGUUUACUUUUAAAUCGUCUUGAUUUAUCCAAGCAAAGUCAGAUGAAAAUAAAUUUAGCAACAUCAUAAAGUUGCGAGACCAGUCAUCUGCACUGAGGCGACAUCACGAGUGUCACGUGUGGUGUAGAGUAGACUGAGGGUGUAAGCAGUGAGAGUACAGGAGACAAGGCGCUGUUACAAUGGUUGUACUUUCAUCUCGCUGAAGGUGAAGCUCGUCAAGUCAUUGUGGGCGUGUUGCCACGUGAUGCCGUCAUUACCCUUAGCGCCGUCAGCCUUGUAUCGGCCGUUGAGGUUGGAGGUGUAACACGUGUCGUACCACCAGGCGCCGUGACGGAGAGCGGCACAGUUGUCAGACUUCUUGUCAUUGUCUCUGUCAAACGUUGUAAAACUCUGGUUGUUGUGAUACGCUAAGCU
rnacentral:lncRNA from 1 species